rnacentral:lncRNA from 1 species
GGGUCCUUGCAGGUCAGAGAAGGGGUUGGGAAGAGAUGGAAGGGUCCUUACGGGUCAUAGGAAGGGAUGAGUUGGGAUGGAAGGGUCCUUGCAGGUCAUAGGAGGGGUUGAGUUGGGAUGGAAGGGUCCUUGCAGGUCAGAGAAGGGGUUGGGAAGGGAUGGAAGGGUCCUUGCAGGUCAUAAGAUGGGUUGGGAGAGGAUGGAAGGGUCCUUCAAGGUCAUAGGAAGGGAUGAGUUGGGAUGGAAGGGUCUUUGCAGGUCAUAGGAGGGGUUGGGUGGGGGUGGAAGGGUCCUUGCAGGUCGUAGGAGGGGUUGAGUUGGGAUGGAAGGGUCCUUGCAGAUCAUAGGAUGGGUUGGGAGGGGAUGGAAGGAUCCUGGAAGACCACAGGAUGGGUUGAGUGUGUUUGGAAGGGUCCUGGCAGGUCACAGGAGGGGCUCAGCCGGGUCGAAGGGUCCUGGCAGGUCACAGGAGGGGCUCAGUCAGGUCAAAUGGUCCUGGCAGGCCACAGGAGGGGCUCAGGCGGCUGGAAAGGUCCUG